ACUCCUACGGGAGGCAGCAGUAGGGAAUAUUGCUCAAUGGGGGAAACCCUGAAGCAGCAACGCCGCGUGGAGGAUGAAGGUUUUAGGAUUGUAAACUCCUUUUGUUAGAGAAGAUUAUGACGGUAUCUAACGAAUAAGCACCGGCUAACUCCGUGCCAGCAGCCGCGGUAAUACA
rnacentral:rRNA from 1 species